rnacentral:rRNA from 1 species
AUUGAACGCUGGCGGCAUGCUUUACACAUGCAAGUCGAACGGCAGCACAAACUUCGGUUUGGUGGCGAGUGGCGAACGGGUGAGUAAUGCAUCGGAACGUGUCCUGAAGUGGGGGAUAACGCAUCGAAAGAUGCGCUAAUACCGCAUAAUCUCUGAGGAGAAAAGUGGGGGAUCGAAAGACCUCAUGCUUUUGGAGCGGCCGAUGUCUGAUUAGCUAGUUGGUAGGGUAAUGGCCUACCAAGGCGACGAUCAGUAGUUGGUCUGAGAGGAUGGCCAGCCACACUGGGACUGAGACACGGCCCAGACUCCUACGGGAGGCAGCAGUGGGGAAUUUUGGACAAUGGGCGCAAGCCUGAUCCAGCAAUGCCGCGUGAGUGAAGAAGGCCUCGGUU